CUACAGGCUUAACACAUGCAAGUCGAGGGGUAGCAGGGUAGCAAUACCGCUGACGACCGGCGCACGGGUGAGUAACACGUAUCCAACCUUCCCAUAACUCGGGGAUAGCCUUUCGAAAGAAAGAUUAAUACCCGAUAGUACUUUUUUAGGGCAUCUUAGAAAAGUUAAAGAUUUAUUGGUUAUGGAUGGGGAUGCGUUCCAUUAGAUAGUUGGUGAGGUAACGGCUCACCAAGUCUUCGAUGGAUAGGGGUUCUGAGAGGAAGGUCCCCCACAUUGGUACUGAGACACGGAUCAAACUCCUACGGGAGGCAGCAGUGAGGAAUAUUGGUCAAUGGGCGAGAGCCUGAACCAGCCAAGUAGCGUGAAGGAUGACGG
rnacentral:rRNA from 1 species